CGAGUGAUACAUGCAAUCGCUGCUAGCUUUAAGCUAGGAGAGGAAAGUCGGAGCUCCAAAGGGCAGGGUGCUGGCUAACGGCCAGUCAAGGCGACUUGAAGGAUAGUGCAACAGAGAUAUACCGCCAGAAAAUCUUAGGAUUUGAGUUUGCUUAAAGCAACUGGUAAGGGUGGAAAGGUGAUGGUAAGAGCUCACCAGCGGUAUGGAGACAUAUCGGCUAUGUAAACCCCACCUGGAGCAAGACCGAGUAAUGGCUUUAUGGGGUGGCCCGUCCCGCCAUGUGGUGUGUCGCUUGAGCUUGCUGGUAACAGUAAGCCUAGAUAGAUGAUUGCUUAAUACAGAACUCCGCUUAUGGAUUAUCUCGCAAC
rfam:Clostridium sp. CAG:221 genomic scaffold, scf32